CACAAAGCACAGUCUGCAAGUUCACUGCAGUGACUCUGGGAAUCAUCUGCCUUGCAUUACUGGCCACAGCGGGUUUCUUGGCGGCCCAAGUGAUCCAGGGACAAGGAGUUUCUACAAACGUCUUUCUAAACCCAUCUCCAAGCAAUAUCAAAGAGACAGGAUGUGACUGGGGCCCUUGUCCAGAGGACUGGAUUCAGUGAAGAAAAAGCUUUUACCUCUUCUCUAAAGAUAAAAAGAACUGGCGCGACAGCAAGAAGACUUGUGCAGCUCUGAAUUCCAGCUUGCUGUGGAUAGAUAGCAAAGAA